rnacentral:rRNA from 1 species
CAGUAGCCGCGGGAAUACGAAGGGGGCUAGCGUCGUUCGGGAUUACUGGGCGUAAAGCGCACGUAGGCGGAUAUUUAAGUCAGGGGUGAAAUCCCGCAGCCCAACUGCGGAACUGCCUUUGAUACUGGGUAUCUUGAGUAUGGAAGAGGUUAGUGGAAUUGCGAGUGUAGAGGUGAAAUUCGUAGAUAUUCGCAGGAACACCAGUGGCGAAGGCGGCUAACUGGUCCAUAACUGACGCUGAGGUGCGAAAGCGUGGGGAGCAAACAGGAUUAGAUACCCCAGUAGUCCCUGUCUCUUAUAC